UGAUCUGCCCACGUAUCCUCCAGUCCUGCCCUGCAGUUCUUCUCUGCUGUUUUUGAAGCAGGAUGAACAAGAAAGAAAUGCCAGAAAAGAAAACGUUACGGAUUCCAACCCAGAAAGUGAAGGGCUGAGAGAACACACCUCAACGGAAUGAGCAAUCUAAUCCAGACCAGGUCUGAGAGCUUCAGACUCUUUGAAACCUCAUUGGAGAGAGACUUCACCAUAGCCCAUCUUCACCAUCAGGCCAGCAGGAGCUCUUCCCUGGGUGUGGUGUGUUCGUGUCAUCGUUCUGCCUUGCUGCCAUGAACCACACAUCUAAACCACAUCGCAUGCAUCAGUUUCAUGCUCUGUCCAAUCAUGUCGUCACUGUUGGAGUAUCAAAAUCCAGUCCCUUUUAGUCAUCCUGGAAAUAAUCCCUCCGGAAAAGAAGGAAAGAGGAUCCGUCGACGCAAUCCUAACUUGUGUCCUGAGAUGUGCCACUCCACCUGGUUGGGAAAAAUUGUGGAGGUCAAGCUUAGGAAAGUGUUUGUCAGCAAAUGUACGGCCAGACCAGGUUCUAAGCAGUAGGCCACUGCUAUGAUCUACAGUAUGUGGACUGGUUAUUCUUUCAUCCUUUAUUUAUUUUUUGUUUUUAAUUUUCGUGGACCAGGAGUUUUAAUAAAAUUCCUGCCAAGUGUGUUCUAGGAUUUGGAAGCAUGUAAGUUCUGUUGUUUCAAAGCCAAGUGAGAUUCUUCCUUGUACCUCAGCAGUGCUGUCAGUGUGUUUGUUGUUUAGAAUCUGGAAGUAUUCAUUAUCACCACGUCGGCCAGAUUGAAUACGCCACAGUUCAUGUACUUAUGCAAUUACAUAAAAAACGUUUGCACUGGUUGAAAUAGAUCUCCGGGUAUAACACGACACAAUUUUGUGAAUGUAUUUCUGGUUUUACCCAAAAUAGUUCAUUAAGAAGCCAGGUGGUUUUAACUCGUGUGCUAUCCUGGACAUGUUUACAUUAAAAGUGGGGUCAUCUGUUUUUUUUCCCAAGGAUUUUUAAUCUUGUCUGGUGUCCGUGGCAGACAUAAGAUCCUGUCCACAUUUGUUAUGGGAGAGAUCACACAUCAAUUUAAUGGUAGGGUCAACUUGACCCUAUAAGAGAGCACAAGGAUUAAAGUACUUUAAAGUUAUUAAAAAAAUAAUAAUUUAGUUAAAACCAACUUUUCAACAAGGGGGUUAGUAAACAAUGUCAGAGCUUGUAUUUAAUUUAUUUUUGUGUCUCAUUUAUGUUUUAUAUUUCUGUAUUUUGUUUAAAAAAUGUAAAGAGUCUAAUGCUGUUAUCCCAAUAGAAGUGUUGUACUGAUGGUGCUGGUCAAAUCCCAAAUAAAAUGUAACAUUUA